CCAAUGAAUAACUUGGUUACAAGAUAUACUUGAAGACUAUAGUAGGAACAAAAUGCUUGGCAGACCAAACUAAUUAGCUUUGAAGUUUCCUGGAGACAGACUACUCUUGCAUCAUUAUGUGCAACCCACAGGGAUCUCGCUCGGUGAGACAUGCACACCUAUGCCACAUCUUUACAUCUCAGUUUUCACAUCCUUCCCAGGUUUCACAAAAACAUACACAUAUGCUUGGAUGGGUGUCCUUGCCUG